CCUGUGAGUGUGCCAGCUUACAGAACAUGCCUUGAGUAAACGCCUAGAUGGUUUAGGCAAUUCCAGCUAGGGCUUGGCAACCCGACCUUAAAGAGAAUGAAAGCAAGUGAAGUUGACCGUGCAUGUAAGGUUAAUGUGAUUGUGAGUAGCGGUAGAUCAGUUGCCGAGCUGAUU
rfam:Cajanus cajan Scaffold116115_1, whole genome shotgun sequence.